UGAUAGAGAACCAUUCAUCACGGAGCAGCACACAGCAGCAGAGCUAACAUGUCAGACAAGAAGCAGACCGUAGACUUGGGCUUAUUGGAGGAGGACGACGAGUUUGAGGAAUUCCCAGCUGAGGAUUGGACGGGGCUGGAUGAAGAUGAAGAUGCUCAUGUUUGGGAAGACAACUGGGACGACGACAACGUAGAAGACGAUUUCUCAAAUCAGCUGAGAGCGGAGCUGGAAAAACAUGGUUACAAGAUGGAGACGUCAUAGUGGCUCGCACUAAUUCUCUGUUCAGUGACGUUGGACAUGGACAUUUAUAUUUGAUCAUCUCUGGAUGGCCGUUUGUCACAAGAAGACUUUCAAGGAUUAUAAUUCGUUUCAUUCUUUCUUUUUUUUGUAAUAAAAACUGAUGUUUAGGAGGAAAAAUGUUUGAGUUUUAUUUUUUUCUGCUGACAAGUUUUACUUCCAUUAGUACCUGGUUUGAUUUUAAUCCUAAAUUAUUUUUAACGUAUCUUUAAGUAGUGAUACAUUUCUUUUAUCGGGUAACAAAUCUUUAAGUAAUAAUACAAAAUAUCUUGUAUUUUUCAUACAAAAUAAUCAAUAGGUUUUUGGUACAUACACCAUAACUUUGUUGCAGGUAUCGAAGAAAACCCUGUUUUGGUUUGAUAUAUGUGCAAUUUUUAAAAUGGGUUAAUCUUAGGGGGGGAAAAAACCCCAUCUUGAACUGCUAAACUACCCUUUUUUCCUCUAAGGGUGUAUUCAGACCAACCCAGGAUUAGAGUCCUGAAUCAGACUCUAAUCCGUUUGUCUAGAAAGUCCGAGUUUUUGGAGAGAACUGAAUGCAAAUUUGAAUUCCAAAACAGACUUCAAAACCGAACUCUGAUCCGCCUAAAAACCUAAGUCUCGGUCGGGUUGAAGUGGACUCUAAAACGGUAGAAAAUCUGUCUGAAUGCAACCUGACUAGAGACUGUUUCAAAAGCAGAAAGUUAGCUACAGUGCAGGACAUUCUGGUAAAUAUAUUACUCUGCUCUGCGGGUUAACGAAGAUGUUGUGUCAGUUGUCAUAUGAACCGGUUUGCGUGUCAACACUAAGCAAGGAAAAGCAGAAUAUAAAUGGUUUGAAGUUGUUUUACAACCUUUUUAUCAGCUUAUUGUCCCAUUGCUGUGGUGUUCUGUAGCUGCUGUAAUUUUUAAACCUUUAAUAAAUGACAAAAACUGAA